AGGCUUCAUGCGAUGCUGCGACAGAUGACUACAUUCAGGAUCCAGACACGAUUAUGCCUUCUACUGGACCUGACAGCACCACCGAUACAUGUCAUUCUGUGCCGCAUCCGGCCAUAAGGAGACGACUUGAUGAUGAUGAUCCUGAUAGCGUACCCGGGCGGCAGGGGAUGCGCCUCAGGCCAACGGCUACUUUGAGACACACCGGAUGCGGGACACAUUGAUUCGGUCUUCCAUAUUUUUGUUUUUUUGGUGUAAAUAAUAUUUUUGUGUACAUUAACAACAAUAUUUAGUCGAAUAUGACAGUUACUUUU